rnacentral:lncRNA from 1 species
GGCAGGUCGAACCCUAGCUCUUCGAUAUGGGCCCCCUUGGUCUCCCAUUUCUGAAACUGAGGUACUUGGAACCUGGCCCAACUGGCAUCUCACCAGCAGCGGGGUUGCCCACCACUGGAUCCCACCGGCGUCCUUUCCUCUGCCUACUCUCCAGUCUAUGGUCAAGGCACCCCUGCCUGCAGUCUCGAAAGUCAUCAGCAGAUGGGAAACCACCUCACAGUCUACAUACACCCCCAAGACACAUGGUGGCCCCUGUGCUCAGCCCAAGGCACCAGAGCACAAGGACCCCAGGCGGACACUUGGCAUCAAGUCUUUGGCAGAAAAGCUAAGAAGACAUGAGGGACGGGGUGUCCCCCUGAACACAAAAUGCCAGAUCAGUGAGACGAAGGCACAGUACAAGGGCUGGCCAGAUGUGGAUCAGAGUGCCCCCCUCUUUGCAGAGCCCCAGCCCCCAGAGCUCGCUGACCACCAUCGCGGGGGACCUUCUCAGGCCCUCAUCCCCUGGACGAAGAACCCUGAGAUGGCUGGCCAACCCUUCACAGUGAACAAGAUGGGCAUCCUGGAUCGGCUUCAACCCUAUCAGACCAUUACUGCAAGUGACUUCACAAGAGAAUGAGUUCUGCCCAGUCUGCAUCACCUUCACCACCAGCAUCUGUGCCGGCUACUGUCCUAGCAUGGUCCGAGUACUGCCGGCUGCUUUGCCUCCUGUGCCUCAGCCAGUGUGCACCUACCGGGAGCUGCGCUUCGCAUCUGUCCGCCUCCCUGGCUGCCCACCGGG